CACGUAGGGGGCGAGCGUUGUCCGGAUUUAUUGGGCGUAAAGAGCUCGUAGGCGGCUCGGUAAGUCGGGUGUGAAACCUCCAGGCUCAACCUGGAGACGCCACCCGAUACUGCCGUGGCUAGAGUCCGGUAGAGGAGCGUAGAAUUCCUGGUGUAGCGGUGAAAUGCGCAGAUAUCAGGAGGAAUACCAGCGGCGAAGGCGGCGCUCUGGGCCGGUACUGACGCUGAGGCGCGAAAGCGUGGGGAGCGAACAGG
rnacentral:rRNA from 1 species